UGCUCUAAGUAUAGCACUUUAUACUGUGAACUGCGAAUGGCUCAUUAAAUCCGCUGUCGUUUAUUUGAUAGUGCCUUACUACAUGGAUACCUGUGGUAAUUCUAGAGAUAAUACAUGCUGACAACCUCGACUUCGGAAGGGGUGUAUUUAUUAGAUAAAAAACCAAUGCCCUUCGGGGCUCCUUGGUGAAUCAUAAUAACUUAACGAAUCGCAUGGCCUUGCGCCGGCGAUGGUUCAUUCAAAUUUCUGCCCUAUCAACUUUCGAUGGUAGGAUAGUGGCCUACCAUGGUGGCAACGGGUAACGGGGAAUUAGGGUUCGAUUCCGGAGAGGGAGCCUGAGAAACGGCUACCACAUCCAAGGAAGGCAGCAGGCGCGCAAAUUACCCAAUCCCGACACGGGGAGGUAGUGACAAUAAAUACUGAUACGGGGCUCUUUUGGGUCUCGUAAUUGGAAUGAGUACAAUCUAAAUCCCUUAACGAGGAACAAUUGGAGGGCAAGUCUGGUGCCAGCAGCCGCGGUAAUUCCAGCUCCAAUAGCGUAUAUUAAAGUUGUUGCAGUUAAAAAGCUCGUAGUUGAACCUUGGGUCUGGCUGGCCGGUCCGCCUCACCGCGAGUACUGGUCCGGCUGGACCUUUCCUUCUGGGGAAUCUCAUGGCCUUCACUGGCUGUGGGGGGAACCAGGACUUUUACUGUGAAAAAAUUAGAGUGUUCAAAGCAGGCCUUUGCUCGAAUACAUUAGCAUGGAAUAAUAGAAUAGGACGUGCGGUUCUAUUUUGUUGGUUUCUAGGACCGCCGUAAUGAUUAAUAGGGAUAGUCGGGGGCGUCAGUAUUCAGCUGUCAGAGGUGAAAUUCUUGGAUUUGCUGAAGACUAACUACUGCGAAAGCAUUCGCCAAGGAUGUUUUCAUUAAUCAGGGAACGAAAGUUAGGGGAUCGAAGACGAUCAGAUACCGUCGUAGUCUUAACCAUAAACUAUGCCGACUAGGGAUCGGACGGUGUUUCUAUUAUGACCCGUUCGGCACCUUACGAGAAAUCAAAGUUUUUGGGUUCUGGGGG
rnacentral:rRNA from 1 species